CAGAUUAAAACGUAAAAAAAAACGAGAAUUUACAGAUUUCUCUAUGAAAAAUCAAAGCUUGUUUUAAGCUCUCUUCUUCACUCACUGCUGCUGUGUAUCAAUGGGAGUGUCUUGACCAGAGGUUGUUGUUGUUGCUUGUCUUGUUUCAGACACUGAGACUCUUCUGGAAUGUCCACCUGAUGUUUCCACAACCUCGUCCGUCUCUGAAGCUGUGUUGUCGUACGCGAAUACUUCCAUUGGGUGAUUAAAUUUACAGCUUGGACCAAACUUGCAGAUCCCAUAGCGACUAUAGAACACACACACCGGUUCUCCCUAUAUCCAAAACAAAACAAAAAAACCUAUUAGAACCAACCAAAUUCAAUUGAACAUGCUUUUUGUUGAGCAGCUUACAGGGCGUAAAGGGAGGCCAAUGGGACUCAAGAGACAAUCAGGAGAAGGAGGUUGUCUAUCUCUAGGAUGAUGAAACUUGCAAACUGUGCCAAACUUGCAGUCUCCUGUCUUCAUGUAGAACUGGCAUUCAGGUUGUCCUGGUCUCUCCGGGAAAACAUUCUCACUAGUAGGGAUGUUAACAUGGGUAGUUACCCAUGGGUUUACCCAAACCCAGAUUAGGAUGACUCAUCGAUCCCAAAACCUGCAUCCUCUCUCUAAAAUCUUUCUCAGGCACCACAACGUCUCUCAACCGCUUCACAGCAACCACCAAACCAUGAUCAAAGCUCGCCUUAUACGAAGACCCAACAGAUCCUUUCCCAAGAACCUCAGCCGAAGCCUUCAACAACCCGUCCAAAUCGAAUUCCCCGAAAGACUUCACGAAAAAGAUCAAAUCUUUACUCACCACACCGCUCUCCGCCGCCGCCGCCGUUUCCUUCGGUAUAACUACGGCGGUGGAGGAAGUCGUAGCGGCGGCGACGGGAGCUGCUUCGACGUUUCUCGGCGGAGCAUUCUCCUCCGUCUUUCUCUUCCUACAGAGACAGAACAGAACCAAGAGAAGCAGUAACAAACCGACAACGCACCCGAUCACAAUUCCGACGAUAGCUCCCGUUGAUAACCCGUCACUGUCUUUAGACGGCGGAGAAACGGCGCAAGACUGUAACGGCUUCCCACAGAGACUGUUCCCUUCGAAAACGGUUACGGGAAAGCCCGACAGCGAAUCCGGAAUCGAACCGUUUAACUGAUUGGAAGAAACAUUAAACUGCUGGAGAGUGAUGCUGAUCUCGGGGAUCGAACCCGUGAGCUGGUUCCUCUCCAAGUAGAGCGUAACCAACCGGGGCGCGGAGUUCACAUUACCCGGUAUCCUCCCCGAGAACCUAUUCUCCCCUAAAUUAAUUCUGAUUAAAUUCGGAAGCGUAAAUAAAAACGACGGAAUCUCGCCGGAGAAGGCGUUGCCUUGGAGAUACAAGUAACGGAGGAGGACGAGGUUGGAGAAGUCGGACGGGAUCGGACCGGAGAGGGAGUUGAACCGGAGGGAGAGAGUCUGGAGCUGAGUCAAGUUCCCGAUUGAUCCGAGUGGUAAGGAUCCGAAUAUGCCGGUUCCGGGUAACCGGAGGGAAGUGACCCGACCCGCGACGCAGUUGACUCCGUGCCAGCUGCAAGGAGAGGAGGCGGUCGUGUUCCAUAGGAGCGUACGGCCGCGGACGCUGCUGCGGAGGGUGAGUAAGGCUCGACGGUCGGAGUCGAGAUCGGAAGUAACCGCCGCGAGGUAGAGGAGGAAGAUGAGGGAGAGGAAGGAGAUGGAUCGGUUCAUCUUCCUCUCUGAGUUGUGUUUUUAAUUAUUGGUGCUUCUUUGUUUUGUUUUUUUUUUCGGUGAAUAUAUUUUGGAUUUUGAGAGAUUUUUUGGGAUUUUGUACCUUUUUGGGUAACGCGUAAAGAAGAGUAUGAACAGAGAGAGAGAGGAGACGGAUGGUGGAAUUCAAGAAGAGGCUUUUCACAUUAGUUUCAGCUCUAUCUCUCUAGAACCGGCCACAGAAAAAAGAAAGAUAUCAUAAUGGUACAAGAAGAAGAAGAAGAUGGAGAAUUUUUCAUUUCUGACAAUAAAUUAAAUGAAAAUCUUGAACCAUAUAGGUUGAAAUUUUCUUUUUAGUAUUUUUUGACAGGCUCUCAUAGUAUAAAUGAUCUAAUAUUUUAGUAGAUUUAAUAUUUUAAUUAUAAAUUUAAAAUAAUAUUUAAACAUGGUAAUGUUAAUGCUGAUGAGUUUUUCUAAAGAGUAAGUAUCUCAAGGUCAUGAAUAGUUGUAACGAUAAAUAUGACAGCUAUGUUAUAGAAAUAACUAAAUCUUCAAAAAAUCUAAUAACAAGGUCAUGAAUAGUUGUAACGAUCAAAAUAUAGUCAACUAGACAUCGCAUUACAUGAAUGGUGGUAAUAAAUACCUUUUUUAAUCAUAAUUACUACGGGCUGCAGUGAUGUUUCGUAGACGUUUAAAAGUUAAUCAACAACUGUUUUUCGAAAGUUGUUUGUGUUGUUCAGGUUAGUGUGACCAAAAACAAAGCUAGAUUUGUGAAUUUAAGUCUUAGGCAAACCGUUGACAAAAAAGAACCCAAUACAAUAGUGUCGAGCCACCGUUUUUAAUUAUUUUAUGAAAUUUGUCAGCUAAUUUUUUUUCUAAACAAUCCUAUCCGUGGCAUUGACCAUUUCGGAAAUAGAAAUGGUCAUCAUAAAGCUAACUAGUGGUUGGUGUAGACUAGUAUAUAGAAUGUUGGACUUUGAAAAUUUCAAUGGUUGGAAAUUCUUGUUUGCCAAAUCGAUUAUAUUUUCAACCCUGGUUACCUCAUAUGUUUGAUACCACUUAUUUGGAAAACGUAUAAAAUACACUUGCAUGUUAUUACUUUCUUGAGUGUAGUAUCAAACAAAACAACAUGUGAUUAGUUAAGUUGGUCACAUGAAAUCUUCUUCAAAAAUUUCAUGUUGCAAUAUGUUUAUUUCUUAGACAAUAGAGACAUACAAUUUUGACUUUGAAUAUACAGUAAGUUGUGUCAAGUCGUUAUUGCAUGGAUAAGUUUAAGGCCACUAUAUAACGAGAGAACGAACUAGGCCCAAUCUUUAUGUAUUAAAUAUGACUUCGCAUACGAGCAUUGUUAACAACUUAGAAAUAAUUGAAAGUGGAAUAUGAAAAUCUAACGCUGAACCGGUAAUAAGAAGGAAGAUUUCUAAACCAGAUCUUAACCGGUUAUACAUUUAUCAAAUUAUUCACCUGAUCCACCAAAAGAAUAUUACAACAAUGGCUAUCAGAUCAAGAUCAGUUGUGUAAUCACCUCCUCUAUACAUUAUUAUUAAUAUAAAUGCUUCAGAUUAAAACGUAAAAAAAAACGAGAAUUUACAGAUUUCUCUAUGAAAAAUCAAAGCUUGUUUUAAGCUCUCUUCUUCACUCACUGCUGCUGUGUAUCAAUGGGAGUGUCUUGACCAGAGGUUGUUGUUGUUGCUUGUCUUGUUUCAGACACUGAGACUCUUCUGGAAUGUCCACCUGAUGUUUCCACAACCUCGUCCGUCUCUGAAGCUGUGUUGUCGUACGCGAAUACUUCCAUUGGGUGAU
rnacentral:lncRNA from 1 species